rnacentral:misc_RNA from 1 species
UGAUCGAACUGCACCUCUUCUUUCUUGUCUUCCUUAUGCGAUUCGCUACGCUCCGCGUGACGCCGCUGCCGGCGGUAGCCUUUUUUCUGCUAGUUGUGAUUGGCGUUUGCUUCGGCGAGCUGACUGUCGCAAGCUCCGCCUUGACGACGGCACUGUCCUCUCACGUCCUUAACGUGACCCUGAGCGGUGCCGGCGCGGGGUCCAAUUGGCCAACGACCACUAACGCGCUGAGCGCCAUCACACCUACGGUUAACGCCACGGUGUGCAGUGCUUUGCCAUCCGGAGUCAGCCACUGCGACGCGUUUCUCAUACGGGUGUCUGAAACCACGCUCGGUCUCCAGCUGAGCAUCGUCACUUCGACUGCCCUUGCGGGAAACUCCACGUACUACCUACUCUCGCAGUGGGUCCACGGAAACAGCACGAGCAUCUCAACGACACUGGCGCGCCUGACGUCGGCCUGCGCAACAGCCCUCGGUACCUCGCUCUCCAGCCUCGCAGUCACCACCGGCGCCUAUGCCGUGCCGUGCCGCAACUCGGAGACGUAUUCCUACCUGCCUGCGUGUGCUGCAGCAGAGGUCCCUGUGACGACGGUCUACAUUCUCGCGCCGUCCUCUGACCUACAGGCGUACUUCGUUGCGUACCUAUGCGGCCCUACUCCCACGGAGACGUGCAGAAACAGCAUCGUCGUUCAGUUGCCGUCAGAGUUGUCGCCGUACACUUUCGUGAGCAUUAAGGGCUUGCCAAAAGCAUUGGAGGCGGUCCUGGCUUACGUCGCCGAUGUGCGCGCCGGUUUCGCGGGCAUGCCUCAGGCAGUGGGCCCGAGAGUGGGCAACACCGCGGCGGCGGUAACCGCCAGAGCGGUUGAGCUGCGGUACCGCGGCAUGCAUGCGGUACUCUUCUCCACGAACGAGAAGACGCGAAUCUACUCCUCUACCACUCGUAUGACGAUUGAGUGUCACGCGAGCUUCGGCUAUUGGGCCUUGGUCUUCAUCGCAAUAUUCCCGCUCUGCGCCAUCCUCUUCCGCUAUGUGUGGUUCCGAGGACGGCAACGGUCCAAGAAACAGGAGCGCCGCCGCGUCGUCGCUGAUGAGAUGCGCAUUAUGCAAGGGUGCACGAACCCGGCCGAUGCGCCGGGCGCUGGAAGAGGGCCGCCGCCGGGUUUCGACACAUCUGUCGCUGGUAUCGGCAGCACAAAGCAGCAGUGGGUCACGGAUGCGAGCCGUAACUACUACGACUCCAACGCCGCAGACGACAACGCCGCCGCGCAGGCCGAUGCGGCGGCGCACCAGAUGUACAUGACCCCUGACACUGGUGAGGCACACCAAUACGUUGUCGAUGACGCGAGCGGCGCAGGCGGGGCGGCGGCGACGGCGGCAUCACAGCCGUCACAGCAAACUGGCAAUGCCGCGGGCGACAACGCGAUCUAUCAGACCUACGUUAACCCCGAGACCGGGGAGACGUACCAAUACACAACCGGUGCGACUGCGGCGGGGCAAGAGCAGGGGCAGACAGCCGAAGCGUCCGUUGCCGAAGGUGCUCAAGACACCGCUGCCGGGGACGGCUACCAAACCUACGUAGACCCGAGCACCGGGGAGACGUACCAAUACACGCAGAUAAACGCCGAUGCAGCGGCACGCAAGUACCAGUACGUAGAUCCCGUGACGGGAACGACUUACCAGUACGCCAACCCGAACGCUGCAGGCGUCUACGAGUACGUUGACCCGACAACCGGUGAAACCUAUCAGUACACCGCCGAGGCUGGAGAGAACAACAGUACGGCGGCGGAGCAGGGGCAUGGCGCUGCCGCCACCGGCAACGUCUACGUUGACCCCCAGAGGGGGGAGAUGUACCGGUACGAGGCACCGCAGCAGUAAAGUCGUGCCCGCGGCAGCCGCCCCAUGUCGGGUGCAGCUCCGUCAUUCACUCCACUUUCCGUGGCGUCGCUGCGUUGUCUCUUUCUCGUUUCUUGUUUGUUCUCGCUGCCUCUUUUGCCAUGUGCGUCUUUGCCUCCUCUCCAGCUCAAAGUGUUGCUAUUUUUCUCUCACCUCUUCCUUGGCGGCAAAACGGCGAACGGACACCCAUGCACCUACCCACGCGUACGUGCACAAGUGGCUGCUUUCCAUGUCUUCUCUUCCCUUAGCACUCCCGCUUUUGCUCGCCGACGCUGUAACGCCUCUCUCUCGCCCGCGUCCACAUCCCUGUCUCUGUCUUUUUCUGGCCACUUCAUCCUUCGUUGAGUAGAGCUGGAGCGUGGAAGGCGCAUGCUUUUCUUGCUGUCUGUCCUUCGCCCCUGCACCCUAGACAC